AUGAAGUCUGAUGAAAUCGAUGGGUAUGAUGCCGUUUUCUUGAGCCCUCACAAAUUUGUCGGGGGACCGGGCACACCGGGCAUCCUUCUUAUGAACAAAUCAUUGUAUAAGCUCCAUUCCCAGCCUCCCUCAACGUGCGGAUGCGGCACAGUGGCCUAUGUCAAUGGCUUCAAUGAGGAGGAUACAAUAUACUACGACGAUAUCGAGGAGCGUGAGGAUGCUGGCACACCGCCGAUACUGCAAAAAAUCCGUGCAUCGCUUGCGUUUUGGGUGAAGGAGUAUGUUGGGUAUGACACGAUGGACCUUCGCGAGCGAGUGUUCUCAGAGAUAGCAAUGAAAAGGCUUGUCAAUAAUCCAAAUGUUAGGGUGCUAGGCAACACAAGUGCCCAUCGUAUACCAAUCUUCUCAUUCCUAAUCUACCCAUCAGUAACCGUGAAGAAGCCAUUUGAUGAUUUUGAUGAGCCUGGUUGUGAUAAACAAUUGGAUACGAUGGGGCACAAGCAACUACCCCUCCAUGGUCGUUUUGUGACUAGGCUUUUGAAUGAUCUUUUCGGCAUCCAGUCGAGGGGAGGUUGUGCUUGCGCAGGUCCCUAUGGCCACACAUUGCUCAAUGUCGAGAACGAACGUUCACUUCGCAUUCGGUCCGCUGUCCUUGAGGGUUACAGUGGACUGAAGCCAGGAUGGACCAGAUUGAGCUUUAGUUACUACCUCUCCAAGGAGGAGUUUAAAUUUAUUCUUUCCGCCAUCGAGUUCAUAGCGACAUACGGACACUGCUUCCUCGCUUUGUACAAAUUCGACUGGAUCACUGGCAACUGGACCUUUAGGAAACAGGCAGUCAAGUACCACAUCAUGAGGGAGGAAUUAUCUCUUGGCAUAGUACCAUUGAAACAAAAUAAUGACCAGCCAAAGCUUGCGGAUAUGAUGGAUAAGCCCGUGGUCAAUCAUAAGAAGUUUCAGAGCUACUUAGUGAGUGCCAAUAAAAUUGCACUCUCCAUGUCGGACAUUAGUAAUCAGAUUGCCAGCGUUCCGAAAGGAGUAGACCCUGACUUGGUUCUUUUCCAUAUAUAG
rnacentral:rRNA from 1 species